UACGUAGGGUGCAAGCGUUGUCCGGAAUUAUUGGGCGUAAAGAGCUCGUAGGCGGCUUGUCGCGUCGGCUGUGAAAACCUGGGGCUCAACCCCGGGCCUGCAGCCGAUACGGGCAAGCUAGAAUUCGGUAGGGGAGACUGGAAUUCCUGGUGUAGCGGUGAAAUGCGCAGAUAUCAGGAGGAAUACCGAUGGCGAAGGCAGGUCUCUGGGCUAUAACUGACGCUCAUGCACGAAAGCGUGGGGAGCAAACAGG
rnacentral:rRNA from 1 species